AUUGUACGCUGGCGGCAGGCCUAACACAUGCAAGUCGAACGAGUGGCGGACGGGUGAGUAAUGUCUGGGAAACUGCCCGAUGGGGGGGGAUAACUACUGGAAACGGUAGCUAAUACCGCAUACCCUCGGAUGUGCCCAGGUUGGAUGAGCUAGUAGGUGGGGUAACGGCUCACCUCGGCGACGAUCCCUAGCUGGUCUGAGAGGAUGACCAGCCACACUGGAACUGAGACACGGUCCAGACUCCUACGGGAGGCAGCAGUGGGGAAUAUUGCACAAUGGGCGCAAGCCUGAUGCAGCCAUGCCGCGUGUAUGAAGAAGGCCUUCGGGUUGUAAAGUACUUUCAGCGAGGAGGCGUUACUCGCAGAAGAAGCACCGGCUAACUCCGUGCCAGCAGCCGCGGUAAUUC
rnacentral:rRNA from 1 species